AGGAGGAACAACCGCAGUGGCGGGGCCGCUCUGGAAACCUGGAUUCAGCCCCCGCAGGAACUCCGGAGCUCUGGGUCUGCAGGGAUCUGGAGGCUCCGGGGCGGG
rnacentral:pre_miRNA from 1 species